GAAGCGUCUCCAGAGUCGUAUUUGUAGUCCCAUCUGUCCGGAUUGAGUGGGAUCGGUGACAAAGGGCCGCCUUUCCCCUGUCCGGCCCCAGUCAGGCGACGGCCAGAGCGCACCCGCC
rnacentral:sRNA from 1 species